GAUGAAGAACGCAGCGAAAUGCGAUAAGUAAUGUGAAUUGCAGAAUUCAGUGAAUCAUCGAAUCUUUGAACGCACAUUGCGCCCCUUGGUAUUCCGAGGGGCAUGCCUAUUCGAGCGUCAUUAUCACCCCUCAAGCCUAGCUUGGUGUUGAGGCCUGCUGUCAAGGCAGCCUCUAAAAUCAGUGGCAGUGCUGUCAGGCUCUAAGCGUAGUAAAUCUAAUCGCUAUAGACACCUGGUGGACACUCGCCAGAACCCCCCCAUUUUUUAAUGAUUGACCACGGAUUAGGUAGGGAUACCCGCUGAACUUAAGCAUAUCAAUAAGCGGAGGA
rnacentral:misc_RNA from 1 species